rnacentral:sRNA from 1 species
GUAAGCGGUACCCAAAAUGGUGCCAAGUCAAAAUUUUUAAGGAGGAAAAUACAUGUCUUCACAUCCAAUUCAGGUCUUCUCAGAAAUUGGGAAACUGAAAAAAGUUAUGUUGCACCGUCCAGGCAAGGAGUUAGAAAACUUGUUGCCGGACUAUCUUGAAAGG